AGAACUCCUUAACAACUUAGAGCUUUAUCCCUGUGAGUACCAGAAAAGUGAUCUGAGUAUUUAUUGAGCAGAAAGAACAAACUGCUUGCUCCAGGCAGGGAGAAAGCUUAUGGAAAUGAUAUUAGACCUUCAGCAAAGUGCACAGCUGCAUCAUACAGAAGCUGAGACUCAAACUGACAGGCAAAUAAGCCAGAUCACGGAAGGGGCCUCUGUGUGGCAGCUCUGAGCUACCAAGUGUUGGACAACUAGGCAAAAAGUGCAAUGGAACAGGGCAGAAAAUAACACACUAACUUCAGGCAACUGUUGCUCAUUCAUGGACUGGAAAUAAACAAUUUCAAUAGAUGUCAGUUUUGUGUGCUGUGAUGCUCCACUCUGAGUGAUGCCACGUUCAGCACUGAGUAGGACUGGCAGAGGAGAGAGGCUUCUCAGAAUGAGGUGUACAGCUGCCAUUCCAGGUGUGCAGCUGCCAUUCCAUCUCCCUGCAGGACUGUGUUUGCUGCUCCACAAGCUGCAGAAAAGGCAGAAAAAGAAAGAAACAAAGAAAGGCACCAAAGCAGAGAUCUUCAAAGUACCUAAACUCCAUCAGGAAAUUUUUGGUACCUUGCUGGUUUGUUGUCUGGACUGGAAUGAGGGUUUCAAUCUACAUCUCAAGGCUGGUGCCAUAACCUGUAAGAACUCUUUUUUAGUUUUUAUUGUGUUAAUCAUAUAUUCUUCCCAUAAAAUUAGUUUCAAAGUGUUGCAGCUGGUGUGCCAUAGUAGUUGCUAUUUGAAUUGUUAUUUGUGGCUCCUUUAAGAGGUGUAAAAACCUGAAAAGGAAUAGUAGAAUUCUAGUUUCCUUUGUUCAUAGUUUGUUUCCUAGAGCAAGAUGGCAAAAUUACUGCAGUUGUACAAAUGCUGUGCUACAUCCCAAUUAGUCUUUAAUGAGGAGAAAAGGAAGGAUUGAGGCAGUGUGAUAAGGCUUGCUGUUGCAGCAAGCACUAUUAACUUCUGAGACUUUUAUCUAACACUUUUAUCUUCAUUCUGCAGCCUAAAACCUUCAUAGCCAUCUCUGGUCUGUGGUGUUUCAAGCAGGUAUCUGAGCUGUAAACCUUCAUGCAAACAUUAUAGUGCAGAGCCAAAACCAGGUGCAAUUACAUCAAAUGCAUGCUUUUAAUUCAAAUGUACAUUUCAGAAACCAUCCAGCAUAGACUGUGUUAUGUACAUCCUUUGCCACAGAGCAUCUCUAAUAGAAUAACACAUUAUAUAAUGUGUUAGGUCUGUGUGCCUGCGCUGCACAGUUUUGCUUUCAGAUGUGUGCAUUUGGCUUGUGCAGUGUAAGAAAAUGUCUUCUCAAGACAAAUAUGCUACUGCUUGCCUUUUGAAAAAUACUCAUGGAAGGCCUGAAAGGGUACAGAGAACAUUUUCCCAGCACAAACAAAAUUCUUGUUAUGUAAUUUAUUUGGCUUCAAAAAUCAAGCAAGCUGUUUGGUUCUAUACUGGGAUUUUGAACCUGCCAACUCUGACAGCUCCACAUAGUCAUGUAGCUGUUGUUUGGUGGUGUCACAGCAAACCUCUCUGCUUAGCUUGCUUUAACCUUGUCCUCCAGAUGAGAUUCAAAACAUACUUCAAAGGUGUACCUGUCAGCAAUUAAUAUGAAAGUCAUAUCAUCUGUGCUCCUAUAGAAAAAGUUAGGUAUGGUUUUCAUUAUAAGUGAAAAGUGGGUAAGAUUUUGAGAUUUUGAAUAUAGACAGUAAUAGGAGAAGAGAAUGUCAGGCUCUUUUAUGUAGACAUUUGUGAGGUUUUGGUUUGUCAAUAUAGCAUAAAAACAUUACUAAAGUAUAUAAAGUAAUAUCAAAAUUAAUAGUUAUUUGUAAGUGAAUUCAGCUAUUUCUAUGACAAUUACUCUAAAUUUUUUUGUUCUGAAUCAUGCACGUACCAUCAUUUCAUAAAAAGGGCUUCAUUAAAAUGCCUACACAUGGUGUUGGGUGGGUGAAAGAGGAACUUCUAAUGUUUUAUUAAAUUUCUUUUUUUACUUUUAUUGUUAAAAGGUGCUGUGGACAGGAGUAGUGUUAUACACAAUCAUAAUAUUCUAGGCACCCCUCUAUAGAUUUCAAAUAAAUAUGUCCUUAUUAAAUGUCUUUUCCA
ensembl:lncRNA